UACGGGGGGGCAAGCGUUGUUCGGAUUUACUGGGCGUAAAGGGCGCGUAGGCGGCCUGUUAAGUCGGAUGUGAAAACUAUGGGCUCAACCCAUAGCCUGCAUCCGAUACUGGCAGGCUAGAGUGCGAGAGGGGAAGGCGGAAUUCCUGGUGUAGCGGUGAAAUGCGUAGAUAUCAGGAGGAACACCGGUGGCGAAGGCGGCCUUCUGGAUCGCAACUGACGCUGAGGCGCGAAAGCUAGGGGAGCAAACAGG
rnacentral:misc_RNA from 1 species